rnacentral:lncRNA from 1 species
ACAAUCGAUGAGAAGGCCAAUGAGCAAGCCACCAGAUUCUUUAUAGGGAGGAAGAAGCUCUGCCAUCGUGCCUAGACUGCCACCGUAAAUUAGAUCGGCAAACCACCAUCUUAGGUCAAAGAGACCAUCACUUGAAUCACCAGACUCUGCAAUCCCCAUCACAAACGUCAUUCGAAAGAAAAAUAAAAGAUUGGCUGUGAAGCAAAAGCCACCACAUCUCCUUUGCAAAACCCAAAUCGUGAAAUUCCAUCACCAAAGAUCCAUGGCUAGUCCUCCAAAUCGAGAGCCAUUUGCAUUGCACAAUCG